CCAGCAUCCUGCCCAGAAAAGACGCAAUUAGCCAAAAUGCUGUGUGGAGCCUUUUGUGAAGACCAACCUGCCACUCCAGAAAUCCAGCAGAUAGCUAACAAGGCAGAAGAAAGGAGUUUCUCCAUUCUGAAGAUAACAGAGCCUGGAAGGUAAUGGUGGUAUCAGGUACUAAAGGCUGUUAGUAGUAGUACUUGGGUCCAGAGUACACGUGGAAAAAAAACACCUCUUCCAAAGAUUCUCUAUGCCCCUCUUCUUUCCUCUUUCCUAUUUGGGGAGACAAGUUGUAUGAAGGAAAACAAGCCUGGUUUCUUCAUUCAGAAAACAUUGAUUUGGGAAUUCCCUGGAGGUCCAAUGGUUAGGACUCUGUGCUCUCACUGCUGAGGACCCAGGUUCAGUCCCUAGUCCGGGAACUACUAAGAUUCUACAAGUCUCGCAGUGUGGCCAAAAGAAAAAGAAAAAAGAAAAAAAAGAAAGAAAGAAAACACUGAUUAUGUACACAGUACUGUGUGAAUUGCUAUAGGGAGAGAAGGGACAUAAAAAAUGUCCCUACCCUCAGAGAAAUUUAUAAAAUAGAUUGGAGAAAAGGGAUACACACAAGGAAAUAAAGAGCCAAACAUGGCCCCAUCCAUAAAAAGCCAUAAUUAAGGAGCAAAUUAAUGGCCCACUGGCAAAAGCCUCUGGAUCAUUAUGGCUGAUCAAUUAUCUUAUGCCAUAUGUAAAAAACCAUUGGAUGAGAAUUCUGAGUAUGUUUAUGUUCAGGAAGGAAAUGUUAUUUCAAUAAUUAUUUUUAGAAAUAAGGCUAUUAUUACACAUGCACAGAUGCAUACACACAAAACAUACACACACACACACACACACACACACACACACACACACCGCUUAGUCAAACAUGACUGCUGGAUACCAUUCCUGGCAUACACACAGAUCAUGAUUUUUGUCUUCCAGGACACCACACAAACACCCUAUCGUCAUACCAUUAUGGACACAUCCAGGAGCUUAGCAUGUCAUGGAUCUUACCCACAAAUCUGUGUUCUCCUCUCUGACUACAGCCCCCUCAUCAGUCACCUCUUCCAUUGUCCCCACGUCCAGAGAACCUGGCAUUCAUCCACACCAGAAUCCUUCAGACACUCACCUCCCAUCUUCAUCAGAGCAUGCCUAGGCCCACUCUAUCACUCAUCCAGCUGGAUCCCAUGAUGUGUGGUUUCAUACUCUCCUCUACCCCUGAUUUCUGUGACUUCGUGAGCUCUGCAUUCCAGUCCUCAAUUAGAGGUCACUUCCCACUGCCACAACUUCUUCCUCAGCUUCUACUCCAGGUUCAGAGAACUUUGCUCAAGGAAGACGUAGAAACACAGAAAACUCACCCAUUACAAAUCUACAGAUUCAUGCCAGUGAACAACCAUAGCAGGACCCUAGGGCUGCCAGGACAUCCUUUCAGUCAUAUCCUGUUGAUCCUUUUCUAGAAACCCCACAGAGGUGGAUCUGGACCUUCUCUCUCCUCAGUUUCUCAAUCUGUCCCAUCCCCAUGGCCCAACCAGAUGGCGUGUCAGUUCUUUCUCUUAAAAGAUUGCAGCCAUCUUGUUCGAGAAUGCCCUGAAUUACUUAUGCCCUGCUGAUCUCAUUCCUCUCUCCAAUCUAAGACUCUGUCCUCCUUAAGCCAGAUGCCAUCAUUUCUUGUAUACUGGGUGCCUUGCCCCAUACUUCC